AGGUUUUCUGUUUACAACGCCAUAAACCCUUUUAUAUAUGCUUUUGCAAAGCUACUGAUAAGCAGUGACAAGCUAAACAACCGAGUAGCUACAGGCAACGAUAAAAGAAGGCUGAAAGAAAGGUGGAAAAGGCCCGGCAGAAGCUACAGGAUGCUGUUUUCCUUGCCCCGAGGAUCCAGGUUGUUUUAAUGCCGCCUAAUGCUGAAUUUCAUAAAGCUCAUAAAACAUUUCAGGGACCUGAGCCAGCAAGAGUGGAUGAGAAACACAUGGAGGAGGAACUGCAUGCUCAUUAUUAUUUUGUUCUCUACUGAAUGAAGCAAGAAGCUGAUCCUGAAGCUCACCGUGCAAAAGCAGCUUUGAGAACAACAGAGACAGCAAUAUUAGUCACUGUGCAUGUGAGUGAGGAGCACUUCCUAGCUCUUCUUUUCCAAAAGGAGAUGCCAGUAAACCAUUUUAAAAAACACACUCUGUACAGAUGCAUGCCGAUGUGCUGAAUUGGCUGCAUCUUCAAAUCCAUCACCUUAGGCACAGAAAGACUUUUCAGCUUGUCUUUUCCACCCUGAGAGCAAAUCGUGUCCAAGCUGCUGCUGACUGGCCUCCUCUAAUGAAAGUGCUGCUUGCCUUGGGGAAGUUGGCUUUUGAAAGACUUGAAGAUUGUGUAGAAGAAAUCUGACUUUGUCAAGUUUUGUUA